GACGAACGCUGGCGGCGUGCUUAACACAUGCAAGUCGAGCGGUAAGGCCCUUUCGGGGGUACACGAGCGGCGAACGGGUGAGUAACACGUGGGUGACCUGCCCUCAGCUCUGGGAUAAGCCUGGGAAGCCGGGUCUAAUACCGGAUAUGACUCCAUGACGCAUGUUGUGGGGUGGAAAGCCUUGUGCGGCUGAGGAUGGGCCCGCGGCCUAUCAGCUUGUUGGUGGGGNGAUGGCCUACCAAGGCGACGACGGGUAGCCGGCCUGAGAGGGCGACCGGCCACACUGGGACUGAGACACGGCCCAGACUCCUACGGGAGGCAGCAGUGGGGAAUCUUGCGCAAUGGGCGAAAGCCUGACGCAGCGACGCCGCGUGAGGGAUGACGGCCU
rnacentral:rRNA from 1 species